AUUGAACGCUGGCGGCAUGCCUUACACAUGCAAGUCGAACGGCAUCGCGGGAAAGCUUGCUUUCCUGGCGGCGAGUGGCGAACGGGUGAGUAACACAUCGGAACGUACCGGCUAGUGGGGGAUAACCCGUCGAAAGACGGGCUAAUACCGCAUACGCUCUUCGGAGGAAAGCAGGGGACCUUUGGGCCUUGCGCUAGCCGAGCGGCCGAUGUCCGAUUAGCUAGUUGGUGGGGUAAAGGCCUACCAAGGCGACGAUCGGUAGCGGGUCUGAGAGGACGAUCCGCCACACUGGGACUGAGACACGGCCCAGACUCCUACGGGAGGCAGCAGUGGGGAAUCUUGGACAAUGGGGGCAACCCUGAUCCAGCAAUGCCGCGUGGGUGAAGAAGGCCUUCGGGUUGUAAAGCCCUUUCGGCAGGGAAGAAAUCGGCGGGGCGAAUAACCCUGCUGGAGGACGGGACCGGCAGAAGAAGCACCGGCUAACUACGU
rnacentral:rRNA from 1 species